ACACCGGUGGUGAAGUGGUUAUCAUGCUUGCCUUCCAUAGACAAUAAUAGAGGUGGUUAUUGAUAUAAGCAAGCGGCAGGGGUUCGAUUCCCCUCCGGUGUA